CUCACAGAGAUCCACCUGCCUCUGCCUCUUGAGUGCUGGGAUUAAAGGCUUGCACCACUACCACCCAGCCUCUUCCUUCCUUUAGAGCUUAGAUUUUUCCUGCUUGUUCUCUCUGUCCACCAGUCCUGGGCAGACUGCCUAACUAUUGGCCGUUCAUCUCUUUAUUAGACCAAUCAGGUGUCUUAGGUAAGCAAGGUGAAACCAAUGCAGCAUGUCUUUACGUCAUUAAACAAAUGCAGCAUAAGCAAAUGUAAAACACCUUUACAUCAUUAAGCACACACCUUAUCUUAUGUCAUUAGAUAAAUGCAGCAUAAUCAAAUGUAACACACGUUUACACAGUUAAAGUAGUAUUCUGCAGUAUAAGCAAAUGUAACACAUCUUUGCUCAGUUAAGAUAAUAUUUCACAACACACUUUCUUGACUUAGAGCACUUUCUCCCCAGCCUUUGCUUUGUUUGUUUGUUUGACACAGGCUCUCAUGCAGCCCCAGACUAGUCUCCAGUUUACUGUGUAACUAAGGAAGACUUUUAACUCCUGAUCUUCCUCUUCCGUCUCCCAAGUUCUAGGAUUACAGGCGUGUGCCACCAUAUCCCGCCUUACUGGACUCUACACCACAUUCUCUACAUACGUGGUGUGCUGCCUGGGUGGAGCUCUUAUGGCAUAAUAGCUUUACGUUGGCAUGGAUACCGUACAGGUUGGUUAUGUUCAAAAAGCAAGCCAGAACAUCCUCACUUGCCACCUGCAAAAUAUCAGUAGCCAUGCUCUGGAAAGUACAGAUCUGGUUUGAAGUCCUGACCAGUUUCCUACAUGAGAUACUGACAGGGAAGUUGGCAGCUCAGAUGUUCAGGGGACUUCUGGCAUGGAGUGUCACAGUACCAGGGUUUCUCUCUGAAGUCCUGGCUGGAACUCACUGUUUACAUCGGGCUGGCCUCAAACUCCCAGAGAUCCCUCUGCCUCUGCCUCCUAAAAGUGGACUCUGACACUGUUCAGCACCAGUGGCUUUGUAACUGGUUGUUUCCUGAGUGCUUUACAACAGGGGAUAUGCUCUGUAUGAGCCGUGUUCCAGAGACACCCUCUUUGGCUGGGGGUUGGCAAGCUAGAGGAGAGACUGGCAUGCAAGAAUGGCAGCAGCUGCUGGGGAGGACCGUGUGUCGACUGGCAGAAUAAACAAAGCUUUAACUAAA